ensembl:lncRNA
CAAAGGUGAAGGAACCAUCUGUCUGAUGAAUGACCAACAGAUUCAGAGCAUCGAACCAUACAUCCUGCUGGCUGGCUUCUGACACUACUAAGCCUGUUUGGUGUUGUUCGGCCCAAGGAUGGGAGAACCAAUGCUGUGGGAAGCAGUGUGGGAGGACCAGCUAGGGGCACUCGUUUUCAGUGUAAAUCAAAGGAGGAUCUCCUGCCUCAGACUGAGCAGGAGUCUGAUGAGAGAAAGAAUGUCAAGGCGAUGAAGACACUACUUGCGAGGAUGUCAGAGAGCAUACAAUGUGUGUCCGAGUCCAGCCUGGAGCUCAUCAUGCAUGCAGUUGACCGUUUUGUCAGAAUGCACGGGCCUGCGCCUCUAGUAUCAACCAAGAGGAUGAGCAAUGAUGUUCAGAUUUGCAAGAGGGCCAAAAA